rnacentral:rRNA from 1 species
UACGUAGGGUGCGAGCGUUAAUCGGAAUUACUGGGCGUAAAGCGUGCGCAGGCGGUUGUGUAAGUCAGAUGUGAAAUCCCCGGGCUCAACCUGGGAACUGCAUUUGAGACUGCACGGCUAGAGUGUAGCAGAGGGGGGUAGAAUUCCACGUGUAGCAGUGAAAUGCGUAGAGAUGUGGAGGAAUACCGAUGGCGAAGGCAGCCCCCUGGGUUACUACUGACGCUCAUGCACGAAAGCGUGGGGAGCAAACAGGAUUAGAUACCCGUGUAGU